rnacentral:rRNA from 1 species
UACAGAGGGUGCGAGCGUUAAUCGGAUUUACUGGGCGUAAAGGGCGCGUAGGCGGUUUAGUGAGUGUGAUGUGAAAGCCCCGGGCUUAACCUGGGAAGUGCAUCGCAAACGACUAAACUGGAGUAGGUGAGAGGGUGGCGGAAUUUCCGGUGUAGCGGUGAAAUGCGUAGAGAUCGGAAGGAACGUCAAUGGCGAAGGCAGCCACCUGGCACCAUACUGACGCUGAGGCGCGAAAGCUAGGGGAGCAAACGGG